rnacentral:rRNA from 1 species
UACGAAGGGGGCAAGCGUUGUUCGGAAUUACUGGGCGUAAAGGGCGCGCAGGCGGCCAGACAAGUCAGAUGUGAAAGCCCCGGGCUCAACCUGGGAAUGGCAUUUGAUACUCAAGGGCUCGAGUACGGGAGAGGAGAGUGGAAUUCCCAGUGUAGAGGUGAAAUUCGUGAGAUAUUGGGAAGAACACCGGUGGCGAAGGCGGCUACUCUGGACCGUAACUGACGCUGAGGCGCGGAAAGCGUGGGGAGCAAACAGG